AUCGCGAUUAGUCGGACGACUGACCCGGUUGAUAUCCCAAUCCAACCGGUGGGUGUUGUGAGAUUGAGUUUGAGUAUUGCGUUGGCAUGGUGAGGCGCAGGUUGAUGUCCCAAUCCAACUGGCCGGUGUUGUUUUAUUUGUUGUUUGCUCAGUCUGAGUUUAUUCUCCUUUUUAAUAUAAUCGGUAGCUCUCCUGCCUGGUUUGUUAAAAAAAAAGAAUCAGACACAUAUGUUGACUAGCUGCAGAAAGUUCAUGAUGUAAUUUAGUGUAGCAAGAUGCAAAAAUCCUCUUCGAAUAAAACUGAUUCAUUUUGUUAAUUAGUUAGUAAUUUGUGCUACUGAUUUCAGAAAGAAAAUCUUCAUUUGGCUCGAUUUAGCUAUACUCAAUUAAAUUGACUGUUUAUAAGGAGUUCCAUGUUUGUCAUGUACACUCAGGAUUUAGUUUCCAAAUUAUGCUCAUUUCGUAUCUAUGUUUUUGUUUCAGAAUUUUGGUUCUGUUGAUUGUUUUGUAUUGGUUGAUAUCUUCAAUAAAAAUAGAAGGGGAGAUGGUGAAAAAACUGAAAAGAUAAUAGCAUGGAGAACGGGUCAGUGCUUCACGCAACUCAAAGGGCUCCAAGAGAUGCAGUCAUAAACAUCGGUGGGAUGAAUUUGGUCCAUGUGGUUUCGAGUGUUUAAGACAGAACCAAGCAGUAUCUGGAGACUUUUAGAAGUGGAUCAUGGGUAAACUUUCAGACAUUUCUCGGACUAAUCAAAUGUGGAAGAAACUUCAAAGACUUAUAGCUGGAACUGCUUUUACUUUAGGUUUGGGGCUUUGGGCAACUUGAAAAGCGUUGAUAUGUUUGUCAGUUGGAAUAGGUGGUACCUUUCUUGGGUCUCUAUUUGUGCAUAGUGCACUCUAGGCUGAUUAACUAUAGAGUUCUUCAGUAUGCAUUCUGAACUGACAUGCCUAGAAAAUAUUGCCAAUUUUCAGAUCCAAGCGUGAGGACAAGCUAACAAACAUCUAUAAAUAUUAUGACGUCAGAUGAUAAGAUGUCUGAUAGGGCACGUUAAGUGUGCUAGACUGAUGUAUGAAUGAAACAUUCGCUUGGCAAGAUUGAAUUACCUGUUGUAUGAUGAAUUUAAGAUCAAUUGGUGGAUGUAACUAGCAGAAGGCCAGAUCAUCAUUUUCUGUCCUUUAUAUGGACAAAUAUAUGAACAUGUUUUCAUUUAUUACAUGUUAA